rnacentral:rRNA from 1 species
GAUGAACGCUGGCGGCGUGCUUAACACAUGCAAGUCGAACGAAGCACUUUAUUUGAUUUCCUUCGGGACUGAUUAUGUUGUGACUGAGUGGCGGACGGGUGAGUAACGCGUGGGUAACCUGCCUUGUACAGGGGGAUAACAGUAGGAAACGGCUGCUAAUACCGCAUAAGCGCACGGCAUCGCAUGAUGCAGUGCGAAAAACUCCGGUGGUAUAAGAUGGAGCCGCGUUGGAUCAGCUAGUUGGUGAGGUAACGGCCCACCAAGGCGACGAUCCAUACCCGACCUGAGAGGCUGACCCGCCACAUUGGGGCUGAGCCGCAGCCAGAACUCCUGCGGGAGGCAGCAGUGGGGAAUCUUGCAAAAUGGGCGGAAGCCUGAUGCAGCGACGCCGCGUGAGCGCAGAUGUACUUCGGUAUGUAAAGCUCUAUCGGCAGGGAAGAUAAUGACGGUACCUUACUAAGAAGCACCGGCUAACUACGUG